UACGAAGGGGGCUAGCGUUGCUCGGAAUUACUGGGCGUAAAGCGCACGUAGGCGGCUCUUUAAGUCGGGGGUGAAAUCCUGGAGCUCAACUCCAGAACUGCCUUCGAUACUGAAGAGCUUGAGUCCGGGAGAGGUGAGUGGAACUGCGAGUGUAGAGGUGAAAUUCGUAGAUAUUCGCAAGAACACCAGUGGCGAAGGCGGCUCACUGGCCCGAUACUGACGCUGAGGCACGAAAGCGUGGGGAGCAAACAGG
rnacentral:rRNA from 1 species